UUUAAAAGUUGGAACGUCGAAUAUAAAAUUUUAAAAGUUUAGAUGCCAAUCUGCAGUAAAAAUAUAUAGAACUUACCUGAAUUACGCACCAUUUUAAAUUGACUAUUUGAACUUUUAAAAUUUAUGAUUUUACUAUUCAACUUUUCAAUUUGUUUGAUUUCAGGCAGACAACAGUCUUUUAACUUCAAAAUUUAAGCUAAUUAUUUAUUUUAAUAAACUUAUAGCUACGAGAAUUACAUAAAAUAUGCUGACUAAAUUUGUAAAGAUAAACGACGCAUUCAAAUUUCAAAGUUAAAGUGCCGUUGACCGACUCAAAUCAAAUAAAUUGAAUUAUUAGAUAGUAAAAUUAGAAUUUUGAAAGAUCGGAUAGUUUUUUUUAGAAAGAGAGAGAAAAAUAACACGCUAUUUGCUUCUUUCACUGAGCAAUUGAAUUUACCUGUAC
rnacentral:lncRNA from 1 species